CUACGGGAGGCAGCAGUGAGGAAUAUUGGUCAAUGGUCGGAGGACUGAACCAGCCAAGUAGCGUGAGGGAAGGCGGCCCUACGGGUUGUAAACUGCUUUUAUGCGGGGAUAAAGUGGGCCACGCGUGGCUUAUUGCAGGUACCGCAUGAAUAAGGACCGGCUAAUUCCGUGCCAGCAGCCGCGGUAAU
rnacentral:rRNA from 1 species